rnacentral:lncRNA from 1 species
UUGUGGAGCUCCUUCCUCAUCAAUGUCUUGCUUACCCCAUGUACAGUAUUCCCAGUGGAGAGUCAACUGGAAGAUUGGUGAGGAACACUGGCAGGGGAGGAUCUAAGAGGAAAGGACCAACUUCUGCAGUGGCCACGAUGUCAGUGACUGCGGUAAGACCUCACAAAGUAAUUUGUUUUUAUUUGGAAGUGAAAGAACAGACUCAUGAAUGAGUCUUUGGAAAGCGGUGACAAGAGUGGUUUUGAUUAUUUAACAAUUCAAAAGUAAGAACAAAAACAGGAUUUCUUUUAUGAAGUUAAAAGAUUCUAGUAUGAUGAUACCACAGAAGAAUAUGGAAAUUAAAUGAGGUUAUCUAGUCCAAUGGGAAAGAGUACUUGGUUGAAAUGGAAACAAUUUGUUGUUUUCUGUGAGACCCAAGAUCUUGAACAGUAAAACAUAAGAAAAAAAAAUUUAAGUACCAGUGGGAAAAUGAUACUGCCUCUGAUUAACUUUAGAAGCUGGGCACAGAUUGAAUUUGUUAUCAAGGAAGCUGUAAGAGAGCCCCAAAUAAAUCAGUUUGGUUCCAAAUUUACCUUAGGUUGAAAAUGGUCUGAUCAAAAUGUUUCCCAUACUGCAUGGAAGGAAAACCUCUAUCUAAAGCAUGUUGGCAUUGCUAUAUUAGUUUCUUUUAAUACCAGUUUCAGCAAAUAUUUUAAGAUGAUUGAGGCAUGAAAAUCUGUUUGAGAUUAAAAACCUGCUGUUAGCCCAAGGAAUGUAAUAGUAAAUGAAAUGUCAGGAAAAAUUCAGUGUACAUGUUUGAGCUUGUAGAACAACCAUGUUCAAAGGAAAUUAAACUGAAAAAAAAAUUUGUUUCAAUAUGGCCAAUUCAUGACUAUAUUAGAUAGUUUAUAAAAACCUCUUGUUCACUGGCUACAUUAUAAAACUCUUUCUGUGUAAGUAUACAUUCCCUUCUCUGAUGCUAAGAGCUAAUGUUUAUUGAGCAUUUACUAUAUUCUAGCUACUGUGCUAAUUAAAUUACACUCUUUGUCAUUUAAUCUUCUCAGCAACCUAAUGAGGUAGAAACUAUUUUUAAUUCUCCUUUAGCAAUGAGAAAACUGCAAAGUGGUAGUGUGUCUGUGGUCUCACUGGUAACCAUACUCUCAUGUACUAUUUCUGUUGUUUGGAUUCACUAGAUAUGUUUCAAAAAAAGUUGGGGGUAGA